rnacentral:tRNA from 1 species
GUUUGGCCGAGUGGUUUAAGGCGGUAGAUUUAAGCUCUACUAUCGAAAGAUGCGUGAGUUCGAACGUCAGUAGUGAACA